rnacentral:tRNA from 1 species
GGGGUUGUGGCUCAGUGGUAGAGCGCUUGCCUAGCAUGUGUGAGGUACUGGGUUCAAUCCCCAGCACCA